rnacentral:rRNA from 1 species
CAAUAGCGUAUAUUAAAGCUGUUGCGGUUAAAAAGCUCGUAGUUGGAUUUCUGUCAAGGACAACUGGUCCGCCCCUCGGGUGAGCACAUAGUUUGGUAUUGGCAUCUUGUUGGAAACUGUUGCUGCACUUGGUUGUGUGGCGCAGUGUCCAGCACUUUCACUUUGAGGAAAUUGGAGUGUUUCAAGCAGGCACAUGCCUUUGGACACAGUAGCAUGGAAUAAUUAGAUUGGGCUUUUGCUCCAACUUGUCGGUUUCUGGAGCUGAGGUGAGAAUUAAUGGGGAUUGUUGGGGGCAUCCGAAUUUAGCCGUCAGAGGUGAAAUUCUUGGAUCUGCUAAAGACGGACAACUGCGAAAGCGUUUGCCCAGGAUGUUUUCAUUGA